CCACUGAGGAGUUGAAGGGCCGCGGUACUUUGACCGUGCGAAGGUAGCAUAAUCAGUAGUCCUUUAAUUGAGGGCUUGAAUGAAUGGUUGAAUGAGGCGCUAGCUGUCUUUAUUUUAUAAUAAAAUCUAACUUUUAAGUGAAAAGGCUUAAAUGUAUUAGGGGGACGAUAAGACCCUAUAAAACUUUAUAUAAUAUCUUUAAGCUUGAAAAUUAGGUUUAAAUUGAGUCUCAAGGUUUAAUAUUUUGUUGGGGAGACAAAAAUAUAAUUUUAACUGUUUAUAAAAUGCAAUACUUAUAGGUAUUUUGUGAUCCUUUUUUAGUGAUUAUAAGGUUAAGUUACUUUAGGGAUAACAGCGUAAUUUCUUUUGAGAGUUCUUAUCGACAAAGGUAGUUGCGACCUCGAUGUUGAAUUAAAAUUUUAGUUGGGUGAAGAAGCUAUUCUAAUAGGUCUGUUCGACCUUUAAUAUUUUACAUGAUUUGAGUUCAAACCGGUGUGAGCCAGGUUGGUU
rnacentral:rRNA from 1 species